CAAGCAGCGGAGCGUGUGGUUUAAUUCGAAGCAACGCGAAGAACCUUACCAGGUCUUGACAUCCCGAUGCUAUUUCUAGAGAUAGAAGUUACUUCGGUACAUCGGUGACAGGUGGUGCAUGGUUGUCGUCAGCUCGUGUCGUGAGAUGUUGGGUUAAGUCCCGCAACGAGCGCAACCCCUAUUGUUAGUUGCCAUCAUUCAGUUGGGCACUCUAGCGAGACUGCCGGUAAUAAACCGGAGGAAGGUGGGGAUGACGUCAAAUCAUCAUGCCCCUUAUGACCUGGGCUACACACGUGCUACAAUGGUUGGUACAACGAGUUGCGAGUCGGUGACGGCGAGCUAAUCUCUUAAAGCCAAUCUCAGUUCGGAUUGUAGGCUGCAACUCGCCUACAUGAAGUCGGAAUCGCUAGUAAUCGCGGAUCAGCAUGCAGUGGUGAAUACGUUCCCGGGUCUU
rnacentral:rRNA from 1 species